UUGUUCUGCUGCAUGUUAUUUUAUUAUACACGUUACACUUAACUCUUCCAUUAUUUUUACCUUAACUGCACUGCACUGGGCAAAUGGACGGACGGGAUAGUUGCACUCGUAACUGGCCUGGCAUAAGAUUAAAUGCAACUAUUAAAUGUCAGAGUAUGGCAUUGCUAUUGAGGAGAGGAUGAUAAGCAACCAGCGAUAUUAAAUGAGAUUAUUAGUUGUGUUGUCUUAAUUAAAAUUGUUUAUUGUUAUUUAUUAUCGCGAUUCGUGUAAAAAUGUAGAAUUCUAGAAUGCUAAAUAAACAUGUUAGGCGAUGUAGGUAUACACAA